UGAUGUUUAAUUUAAUUUAUUAUUAUUAUUAAUAUGCACGUGUUAUAAAUCGACGAUUCGUAUCGUUCAAUUGUUGUUGCUCGCGAGAAUUUCUCUAAUCAUUUUGUGGAUCUCAAUACGAUAAA